rnacentral:rRNA from 1 species
CAGUCGCCGCGGUAAUACGUAGGGUGCGAGCGUUAAUCGGAAUUACUGGGCGUAAAGCGUGCGCAGGCGGUUUUGUAAGACAGGCGUGAAAUCCCCGGGCUCAACCUGGGAAUGGCGCUUGUGACUGCGAAGCUAGAGUGCGGCAGAGGGGGAUGGAAUUCCGCGUGUAGCAGUGAAAUGCGUAGAGAUGUGGAGGAAUAUCGAUGGCGAAGGCAGCCCCCUGGGCCAAUACUGACGCUCAUGCACGAAAGCGUGGGGAGCAAACAGGAUUAGAGACCCCUGUAGUCCCUGUCUCUUAUAC